GCGGUAUCCUAACCGUGCGAAGGUAGCGUAAUCACUUGUUCUUUAAAUGAGGACUAGUAUGAACGGCUUCACGAAAGCUAUACUGUCUCCUUUGUCCAAUCAGUUAAACUAAUCUCCCCGUGAAGAAGCGGGGAUAUACCUAUAAGACGAGAAGACCCUGUGGAGCUUUAAACACCUUAAACAUUUGUCAUUCUACUUCACAACUUCCAGAAAACUUUACUAAACCCAACACUCUGUUUUAGGUUUUAGGUUGGGGUGACCACGGAGUAAAACUUAACCUCCACGUAGAAAGAAACUCCCUUUCUAAGCAAAAAGCUACAUCUUUAUGCAUCAAAAUAUUGACUUAAAUUGACCCAAUUAUUUGAUCAACGAACCAAGUUACCCUAGGGAUAACAGCGCAAUCCGCUUUAAGAGCUCCUAUCGACAAGCGGGCUUACGACCUCGAUGUUGGAUCAGGGCAUCCCAGUGGUGCAGAAGCUACUAAUGGUUCGUUUGUUCAACGAUUAAAGCCCUACGUGAUCUGA
rnacentral:rRNA from 1 species